UGGUCUUCCUAGGAGCGAUCACCUUUAUUACUCUUCAAUCUUCAUAUCUUGACUGUCGAAGCAUGUGUGGCUGACUGGAAUGGUUAUGCCCUCUAUCUCUGUUGCACCUAGGUCCUCGGAGAGAUGACGUGAACUGAAAAAAAAGAUUAAUAACGGAAUCGGAAAGUAAGGUUUAUUAAAUCUUCCAAAUCCAAACGUGGGGACUGCGUGAUGACGAAUGACGAUGCCACCGUAUGAGACCGAUUAUUUGUAUGAGACCACUGUGUUGUGUGCGGCAGUAAUGGUGGUGGAAACAGGACGUGGAAAACAAACUGAGAGCAAAGCAAGAGGCGAAGCGGAAGUGGUAACAGAUACGAAGUCUAAAGUGCAGUGAGGGUGUGUUAGAACAGGCAACACUGAAGCGUCACGGGUUUCGCAGACACUGAACUGAUACGAAACUGCAUGAAUGGGCCUGUAAGGAUGCUGAGACAAAAGGUGGCAAUAUCGAGGAAUCAAUUUGUAUUUAUAACUGAAAAGGGAAUCACUGGUGCAAUUUUUAUGCUGACAGAUUAUGGAAAAUAUAGGAAGCCAGGGGAAAUUACACGCAAUAUUCAAAGAUUUGGAAGUAAGAGAUAUGAUCAAAUUCUGAAAUAAGUAUGGAGAUGCUUGAAGAAAAUGGUGCUAGAGAAGUAUGUAAAUCUGAUUAUGGAGAUGUAUAGUAAUGUGAAAACGAAGGUUAAAAAACGUUUUGAUAUUGCAGGUUGGGCUGUAUCAAGGCUCAUCUCCGUAUUUGAUGCUUUGAUAGAGGAGGUAAGAAGAUGAGUGCCAUGGAAUAUGUAUGGGAUACUGUGAUAAUUGGUGUGAAUCAAAAGAAAUGGAGGAGAGGAAAGAGGAGUGGCGAAUAAGUAGAAGUAAGACAGAAUAUAGAAUAUGCAAAGCAGCUAAGGUAAUGACGGACCAUGAUCAAAACAGGAACUGAAGCUCUGGAACAUGGGCCUACAUGGUAACCACAGUCUGAACAGCUUGAAGGACUUUAAAUAUCUAGGUUUAACUGUUGCCACACAUGGAAACCAAGGUGGAAGUUAUAAUAGGAUACAGGUGAGAUGGAAAAACUGGCAUGAUUUUGGUUGAUUUUAGAGUGCCUUUUCACACUAUCAGGGAUGAUAAAUCCUUUCAAUGCACAAUGGAUAUGUUGUUUAUUAUGAAAACAAGCAGUCUAAGACCACUCUUUAACAGUAUACACAAGAACCCAAUGUAGCAGUUAGGUAGUUACUGUUUGUUUAUUAUGGGUACUAAAAAAAGAUUAGAAAUUUAUUAAAUAAAAUUCAUAUACUGGUAUGAAGAUUUAAUAAAAAAAAUUCUGUACAAAUAUAUACAUUAUCACAAUAUGUAUUAAUAUGUAUAUCCCAACAUCAAUUCUUGAAUAUUCAAGAUAAAAAGUCUAACAUGCUUGUAUGCCAACAAUAAUUUUCUUUAGCCACUUACAUAAUCUUAUUUAAACAAUUAUUCACACAAUUCUCUGUUUUUAAAUUUCUUUUUAAUUUUCUAACUGCAUACCAACCAAUACCUGAUUCAUUUAGAUGCCUAAACUAGCCUAUAUGCUUCACAGCAACACCACUUUCACACAUGAAAGGCCUAACACUUUUAACUACACAAUUGUCUGUAAUCUAAUAACCUGAUUUGCCUUAUUGGGUGGAAUAAUAAUGACAAAAGCACUGCUAACAAGUGCAUCAUGGAAAAACAGCUACACAAAAUAUUAAAUCACUAGAUGAUUGAGAUCACAUCAGUUUCACCAUGCUAAGCAACAACUCUUAAUUAGAAUUUAAUAAAAUCAGCACUCCAAUGUUUAUGAUUAUCAACUGCUUACAGCUGCCUUACACUGCUCAUAUUGAAGCCAGGCAUCUAAAGUAGACACUGCCUACAAGUCCAGGGACUAUUCUGAUGGCCAGUCAAGAAAGAAGAGAUGGCUUGUAUAAAGGCCUCAGAACCCUAAGAUAAAUUCAGACAAGCAUAAUGACCUGACAGUUCAUGUUCUCCUACACAUAAGUUUUCUUGAAAUGAAAUACACUUGGUACAAAUUACCACUCAUUAAUAAAUUCCAAAAUCACCUCAAGAAGCCAUGAAAAGAUUGAAGUGGACUGAAGCAUCUGAGAGCACUAAUUCACUCUGAUCAGAAAAAAAAAAAAUCAGUAUGCUGCUGCACUUCAAAUUCUUAAAACAUUA
rnacentral:lncRNA from 1 species